rnacentral:piRNA from 1 species
CCUAUGACCGGAGGUAUUGGUGUGAUGCA